ensembl:snRNA U4 U4 spliceosomal RNA
AGCUUUGUGAAGUGGCAGUAUUAUAGCCAAUGAGGCUUAUCUGAGGCACAAUUACUGAUAAUUGAAAAGAAUUUAAGAGUUAUAUAAC